AUAAUUAAAUAGAAACACAUUGAUUUGCUGUUCUCCUAUUCAUUUCUACUAUCUGAUCCAAAAUUACUAAAAUGAUUCUUAAGCUACUAUUCUACAUUCUUCAGUAGUAUAGCACUGAGGGCUCAGGGCAUUGGUCAUCACAGUGUUCAUAGGACAGGUGCAAACUGUAGAGGAACACAUUGCAGAGGGGUGUGUGAGUUUAAGUGAAAUUGUCAACUCCCCAUUAAUGUCAAUGUAGUCUACCAUUAAAGAUAACGGAUGGACGUGCUAUUCUGGAGUUUUUGGAACAUCUGCGGACAGUUGGAGGUCAUGGGAUGGAUGGCAAAGGAAGGACGCGCGCAAGGUAACUGAGCUGAGCAGGCUAUUAUUUUCCGGUCGAUGCGCACAGUCCGGACAGCCAUUGGUCAGCUCUGCCAGAAAAGGGGAGGUACUCGAGUCCAGAAAUCUGUGCAGAAAAUCUCCAGACUGAAGGACGGCAAAAAGGGUGACGGCGACAAGGACGCUUUUAACAUGUUGAAGUGUUCUACAUCCAUACUUUACAGAUGUGUUUUUCUAAAUACUUUUCUGGGGUUAUAGUGAACUUAAUCCGAAGAUGACGAAAUAUCGGGCUGCCAGUACUGCGAAAGCAGAGUUUAUUGGUCGUCCCAGACCAGCAUAACUUGCCGUUUUCAUGCAGUUAACUUUUUACCUUUUCGUGGAUGCGGUAAGUAGUCUACAGUGUGUCCAAAGUAAUCGAGGAUAGCUUUUGGAAGAGGCGCAACUUCGCCUAUUUCUCCUUUUCUUUCUCCAUGGAGAAAAAAAAUAUUCCCGGCUGUUCCCUUGGGAUGUAAUUGCGUUCCCAGGCAAGUUCAAUGGCUCUGUAAGACUCAGAGAAUAGCAAGCAAGCUGGGACAAAAACCCACUUAUUUUAUUAUGUAGACAAGACUAUCAUUGUAUCUUUAGGAACAAAUUUAAAUCAAGUACAAUUACAUGUAGAUAAAUAUAUUGAUUGUUAAACUCAAAAAUGGCACCAUUAUUCAGGAGUCAAUAGGGUGCUACAGUAGUUAUAGCAACAGUAGUUAAAGGGACUCUGCAAGACUGCAAACAUGAAGCAUCUGUACCCCCAAGUUAUAGAUGGCUCUGCUACUACUUAUUUUAGUUAUACCUCCAAAUGUGUCUAUAUAACACUUGACAUCCUAUAUUUUGGCAUGACAUGAUCUUUCACCUCCUAAAGAUUGAGUUGUACUGUAAGUGUUAGUGGUUUUGUUUAAUGGGGUUGUAAAGGGAAGGUCUUUCUUCGUGAAAGAGCCUAUUUGUGUUGAUCUAAACUUUCCUUCUGUCUGAGGGGUCUCUGGCUCAGCUCAGCUCACAGGACCGUUCCCAUGGAGAUGAUAGGAUCACUUCCUGUCUCAGAACAGGCCAGGUCAUGGAGUUUAUGCUGGACCGGGAGUCCCUUCUGCUCCUCCCCCUUCUUCUCAGAGCAGAGCAAGCAGGCCCAUUGCCCUAGCGAUUCCACACAGACACAGCGUGUACACAUGCUGCUCCAGAGCCAGUACUGUUCUUCCUUCCGACAAGUACGCCUCUCAACUUUGUUCAUUUACACAAUGUCCUUUGUUUACAUUUGCUUAUAAAUGUUCUAAACUCACCAAAAAUUAUAUUAUACUACCUAUAUAUGUUUAACUUUGAGUUGGAUUGCCUCUGCGCUCGUUAAACAUAUUUAGCUAGCAGCCUCAAUGGAAAUUCGCUAUUAUUUGUGCUAAUUUUGUUAGCAUUCUGGUAAUAGACACCGAAUGGGCUUUUUUAUUUUUAUUUUUGGCCGGUAAUACCAUAAAACCUGGAAUGAGAGGACGGUAUGACAAUAUGAGAAAAUAUGGAUACUGCCCAACCAUAGUGGAAACCCUCGAUGGCGCUGCCAUUGCUAAAAUGCUUUUGGCCACUAGAGGCCUCUAUCAUUCUCUGCUUGCAGAUCACACAUUGCAUCGGAAGUACCAUAGAAUUACUGCCAUAUAUAUAUUAUCCAGAAUGACUAUAGGCCUGAUUCCACAUUGAACACUGCUUCUCUUCCCUUGAUGACUCACUCUUGCAGGUCUUAAAAGACUGCAGAGGUGUUGGCAUGGUGAUAGUUCCAGCUAUUCAAAUAGGGUGAAGUUGAGAGUUUCUGUGUUAGUGUGUGCUUUUAAUAACAGUAAAUAUGUGUCAUUUGUUUGAUCUAACAAAUGUUUUCUAUUGGUGCAAAUGUUCAAUGUAUUUUGAAUAUGAUGAAUAAAGGCUAUUCUUCACCACAGCC